CACGUAGGGGACGAGCGUUGUCCGGAUUCAUUGGGCGUAAAGCGCGUGUAGGCGGCCCGGUAAGUCCGCUGUGAAAGUCGGGGGCUCAACCCUCGAAAGCCGGUGGAUACUGUCGGGCUAGAGUCCGGGAGAGGAGAGUGGAAUUCCUGGUGUAGCGGUGAAAUGCGCAGAUAUCAGGAAGAACACCCGUGGCGAAAGCGGCUCCUCUGGAACGGUACUGACGCUGAGACGCGAAAGCGUGGGGAGCGAACAGG
rnacentral:rRNA from 1 species